rnacentral:tRNA from 1 species
ACCGGUCGACCGGCCGGGCCAGCCGCUCGUUGAAGCCGGGCACCGGCUGGUGGAUCGCCGCCAUCGGCCGGCC